rnacentral:rRNA from 1 species
AGAUUGAACGCUGGCGGCAGGCCUAACACAUGCAAGUCGAGCGGCAGCACGGGUACUUGUACCUGGUGGCGAGCGGCGGACGGGUGAGUAAUGCCUAGGAAUCUGCCUGGUAGUGGGGGAUAACGCUCGGAAACGGACGCUAAUACCGCAUACGUCCUACGGGAGAAAGCAGGGGACCUUCGGGCCUUGCGCUAUCAGAUGAGCCUAGGUCGGAUUAGCUAGUUGGUGAGGUAAUGGCUCACCAAGGCGACGAUCCGUAACUGGUCUGAGAGGAUGAUCAGUCACACUGGAACUGAGACACGGUCCAGACUCCUACGGGAGGCAGCAGUGGGGAAUAUUGGACAAUGGGCGAAAGCCUGAUCCAGCCAUGCCGCGUGUGUGAAGAAGGUCUUCGGAUUGUAAAGCACUUUAAGUUGGAGAAGGCAGUUACCUAAUACGUAAUCUGUUUUGACGUUACCGACAGAAUAAGCACCGGCUAACUCUGUG